GGUACCUUUAAUUCAGUCCAGAGAGGCUGACAAGGACAGCGGAAGUUAACAAUCAUUCAUGGGAUGCGUAUAUAGGCAGCCUGUGUUUAUUGUGAACGAAAGGGGUUUAUUGUCAGAUAUGGCGAUAAACCCUUUUUUGU
rfam:Bacillus sp. FJAT-21945 super33, whole genome shotgun sequence.